CCUACGGGGGGCAGCAGUGAGGAAUAUUGGUCAAUGGUCGGGAGACUGAACCAGCCAAGCCGCGUGAGGGAUGAAGGUACAGAGUAUCGUAAACCUCUUUUGUCAGGGAACAAAGGCGGGGACGCGUCCCCGGAUGAGUGUACCUGAAGAAAAAGCAUCGGCUAACUCCGUGCCAGCAGCCGCGGUAAUACGGAGGAUGCGAGCGUUAUCCGGAUUUAUUGGGUUAAAAGGGUGCGCAGGCGGUCUGUUAAGUCAGCGGUGAAAGCACGGGGCUCACCCCCGGCCUGCCGUUGAAACUGGCAGUCUCGAGUUGGAGAGAAGUAUGCGGAAUGCGCGGUGUAGCGGUGAAAUGCAUAGAUAUCGCGCAGAACUCCGAUUGCGAAGGCAGCAUGCCGGCUCCACACUGACGCUGAGGCACGAAAGCGUGGGUAUCGAACAGGAUUAGAUACCCCAGUAGUC
rnacentral:rRNA from 1 species